CCGGUUUUUAGACUUUGACCGAAACAUUGAUCAUCAUCUGGUAUAUAUCUGAUCGAUGAGUAUCAGUGGACACUGCUGUGUUCGUGUUUUCAGAAUCAUCGCAUCGAGUGUUUGCGGUCCCUUCGCAACGGAAGCCCGGUUUCCUUCCUGUCAGGUAACCCGAGGACCGCAGAGCUGUGACCCGCGGCGGCUCGAACAAUACGAGGCCGUGCCGCUAGUCCGGGUCCCGCUGUUCGCCGGUCGGCUCGGGGACUUCGCCCGCGCUGCCGUCGUCCUCGACUUCAACUGACGCCGACGAGCUGACGGGGGCGCCGCACGCCGUCAUCAAGCGGCCGGGUAAAAGCCCCGACUUCCUACUUCUUCUUGUUUAGUGAAAAGGUUUUACUGAUGAAUGCUGCUGUAGCUCCGCCCUACUUCGUGUGACCCGUUUCAGUUAAUCUGUCAGCUGAGCAGCAGCUGAGUCCAAAGGAAAAUUUGCAGAAUCCACAGUUGACACAAAAAUUUAAACAAAAAGGUAAGUGAGAAAAUUAUAGAGACAAUUAAGACAAAAAACAAAUGACCAACAGAAUUAAUACAGUUUAAAAACAAAGAUCAUCAGAUGCUAUUUAAGCAAUGUAGCGUAAUAAAACAUUGAAAAACAUUUCAGAAAAUUAAACUUUAAAAAGUAGUAAAAACUUAAAAUAUACAACAAAAGCUAACUUAGUUACUAAUUUUCAAAAAUUUUGCCCUAAACAAAAUUUUAAUUCAAAGGAACUGACUUAUAAAUUAAACUUAUUUAAAAACAUUUUAAGGAACCAGUCUGUUAUCACACAGUGCAGUUAGUUUCACAACUCACAGUUUCUACAAAGACGUUCAAAACAUUUCACUAAAAAAACAAUAAAAAACAAAAAAAACAGAAAAAAAAAAAAAAAUCAGCAUUUGAACAUUUAUCAGACAAGUUUAAAAAAUAAACCGUAGACUGAGUUUUUCAAAUUAACGACCUGCUCGCUGGUUGAAGUCAGGUGGACCGUCGGCUCGUGGCCGCUUCCUGCCAUGGAGGUCGUACUCUUCAGGUCGACGCCUACGUAAACAAGUUGACAAGUAAGACACACACAUGCACACAAAUACACACUCACACCCACAUUAAUACACACUAAAAAAAACUCAGUCAGGGCAAAUUUCAAACAGAAGAAUCUGAAAAAAACAAAUCUGUUCCAGAGUUUGUUUUUCCAAUUCUAAAUAUGUGACAGAUUUACACUGAACUCCAAACUAAAAAUUAUCUGAAGUGAUGUUUGAUGAAGGUUCUGACUCGUCCACCGGACGGACACUUAAUGGACAAAUGUGUGCUACCAACAUCUGCCAGUCCUCCUGUCUACUGGUCCUCCUGCCAGUCUUGCUGUCUGCUAGUCCUCCUGCCAGUCUUGCUGUCUGCUAGUCCUCCUGCCAGUCUUGCUGUCUGCUAGUCCUCCUGCCAGUCUUGCUGUCUGCUAGUCCUCCUGCCAGUCUUGCUGUCUGCUAGUCCUCCUGCCAGUCUUACUGUCUGCUAGUCCUCCUGUUGUUUACUAGUGCUGCUGUCUGCUAGUCAUGCUCUUGUCUAAAAGCACUCCUGCUGUCUCCAAUCUACUAGUUUUUACUUUUCCUGUUUUCUUUGUCUGAACCAAGGCUCUGAGGGUUGAGGGAGUCGUACACUGUAAUGCCCUCUGACACUAAUCUGUGAUUCGGUUCUAUACAAAUUUAGCUAACAACUGUUUGUGUUCUCACAAAUGUUCCACUCAAUGUGUUCUGUUGUAAACAAUAGCUCACUGUUUCACUGUUCGAUGGACAAAAACAGCAUUUUGACAAAUUUUGCUUCAUACACACAAUUAAAAAAAACAAACAAAGAAGAAGAAGCCUCUGAAAGGAACAACAUACCGCUUCUGUUGUAUAUGUGGGAGGGGCUGUUUGUUUGUGUCAACAACACCUUUGAUUAUAAAAAGCAGUUUUUCUCCUCAUCAGUCCAUGUUAAAGGCUUUUUUAAAACACCCUCUUAUUUUGAAAGGGUGUGGGGGGGGGUGAUGAUGAUGAUG